UCUGUGCGAAAAAAAAACAUGAAAACGUAAGUUACGGUACCUGUGAACUUAAAUAUCAUUAAAAUGAGACUUCAGCAAAUACUCCGCAAUGUUUCAAAAUUCAGAACAGUUUUCGAUUUUGGCGGACGAGAUAUUGCGCAUUGGUUCCCUGGCCAUAUGGCAAAAGGUCUGAGACAGAUGAAAGCGAAUCUGAGAAAUGUGGAUUGCAUAUUAGAAAUUCACGACGCCAGAAUACCAUGCACUGGGAGGAAUCCAGUCUUUCAAGAAAGCUUAAACGUCCGACCACAUUUGCUGAUAUUGAACAAAUUGGAUCUGGCCGAUCCAUCCAGCAAGCAGAGAGUUCUCAAACAGCUGGAGAAAAGUGGUGUGGAGAAUGUUCUGUUCACAGACUGCCAAAGACAGAUAGAUGCUAACAUUAAAAAGAUCGUUCCCAUGGUGACACAGCUGAUUGAGAGCAGGCCUCGUUACCAUAAGGAAGAGGACACAUAUUACUGCUUGAUGGUAAUCGGAGUACCAAAUGUGGGGAAGUCAUCGCUAAUUAAUGCACUGAGGAGAACAAAUAUGAAGAAAGGCGGUAGAGCUUCUAAAGUUGGAGGUGAGCCAGGCAUAACCAAGGCUGUCUUAACCAAAAUCCAGGUCUGUGAGAGACCUGCCUUGUUUUUGGUUGACACACCUGGAGUGCUUCCUCCGAAAAUUGAAAGCGUAGAGACGGGGAUGAAGCUAGCCUUGUGUGGAACAAUAUUGGACCAUUUAGUCGGUGAAGACAUUAUGGCUGACUAUUUGCUAUACUCCCUGAACAGACUUGAAAAGUUCAGUUACGUGGAUCAGUAUGACCUUGGCGAACCCAGCGAUGACGUCCAGCACGUCCUGAAGCGCAUCGCCGUCAAGCUGGGAAAAACCCAGAGAGUCAAGGCCAUCACCGGAGUGGGUGAGGCAACAGUAACCUAGUGCCUUUAAAAAAAAAAUGCUUUUCAGUAUUUCAGGUUUAAUGCAUGCUUUUUAAUAACCCAGUUUUUGUGUGAAAUGAAAUAUUGAAAUAUGUGUUUGUUAUAUAUAGCCUAGUCCCUGUGGGUUUCCGGGGAACUUCCUGCUCCACUGUUAUUUGCAUUGUAGAUGUCCCUGGCUUAUGAUUUGCAUAGUGGCAUUCUGUUCUUCUGAACAUUUACUGUAAUUUACACCGCAGACAUUACUCAAGGGUGAAUAGGCAAAGCUACACCGGGGAGUGGAACCUUCAGCCAUCUUUUAAGCCCAGUUUCCUUGACAACUAUUCCAUUUAAAAUGGACCCCCCCCCCCCCC